rnacentral:rRNA from 1 species
AUUGAACGCUGGCGGAAUGCUUUACACAUGCAAGUCGAGCGGCAGCGCGGCCUUCGGGCUGGCGGCGAGCGGCGAACGGGUGAGUAAUGCAUCGGAACAUGCCCAGUCGUGGGGGAUAACACUUCGAAAGAAGUGCUAAUACCGCAUACGUCCUGAGGGGGAAAGCGGGGGAUCGCAAGACCUCGCGCGAUUGGAGUGGCCGAUGUCAGAUUAGCUAGUUGGUGGGGUAAAGGCCUACCAAGGCGACGAUCUGUAGCUGGUCUGAGAGGAUGAUCAGCCACACUGGGACUGAGACACGGCCCAGACUCCUACGGGAGGCAGCAGUGGGGAAUUUUGGACAAUGGGGGCAACCCUGGUCCAGCCAUUCCGCGUGAGUGAAGAAGGCCUUCGGGUUGUAAAGCUCUUUCGGCAGGAACGAAACGGUGGGCUCUAACAUAGUCCGCUAAUGACGGUACCUGAAGAAGAAGCACCGGCUAACUACGUG